GGCCAGCAUUGAUGAAAAAAGAAAAACUUCCCCCAUCGCAUCAUUAACCGGUGUAGGAUUCAAGAUCAGGUCCAGGAUUCGAGUCAAAUCGACCUUCCCUCUCAUCUCAGGGUGAGGCAAGGAAUUGUUUCAAAUGUUCGUUGUUCAAUAUCUCGGCUGCUCAAGAAGUUUGACUAGUUGCUCCUCCGACCCGGAGUGGAUUCUAGGGGAAGGGCAGAGCCUCACCUUGCAGUAGGAAGGUGUUCGUUGUUGGGACGGGUUCAAACUGGACUGAAGGGAGGAGGAAAAAAAGAGUCCUCUCUUCCUGGUCCUAUCGAACCAGACACUGAAUACCUGGGGAUUCAUCACUGGCUAGGGCUUUCGAAUGUUGUUCAAUAUCUCGGUUGCUCAGGAAGUUUGACUAGUUAAUUUCCUAGUCUCUUCGAGAUCAAAAAUCGAAAAUAUAAUCACCCACCAAAAAAAGAGGCAAGUAAACCUCACGUGCUAAUAUAGAUCAUGAUGCUAUAUGCAAGCAGGAGUUACAACCCUCUCCUAUACAACAGACUGUUCAUAAACCAGCUAAGGCAAACUCAACCCACGCGGAGCAAGAGCACAAACAAGAAGGGGAAAAAUAACUGAAUAUGGCCACCGAGUUUAGAAACCACUACCCCAUAAACUAUUGAAACGCCAGACAAAGGGAGCAACUACAGAUCCACUCUCAUACAACGGCUCACUGGAUCGGGGUAAGAAAAAUAUCAUUUUG
rnacentral:lncRNA from 1 species